UUCUAACAAUUAGUAAAUGGCAACUGCAAUAACUGCACCAAACAUUACCUGACAAAAAAUCCCAACAAAUAAAAAAGAACAAAGAGACAAAACUUCCUUCGGAUGGGUUUCAUCAGCAUCAUUAAUUCAUCACCGUCACAUAUCCAACUCCGACAUUCCAUAGAACCCUAGCCUUCCAAAUUACCUCAAAAAUUAAAAAAAAAAACCUUAAUUUUUUUUUUUUUUUUAAGAAUUCCGAAAGAUGGCUUCGACGUCUCCAACGAACCGAUCCUCCUCCGAUGACAUCAUCGACACGACGCCGUUUCUCUCAUCAACAAGCGGCAUGUCACGGGACGAGUCCACCGCGCGUCGAUCCGUCCGUCGCCAGAGCCUUCGCGAAGCGGCUCGGUUCCUGCGCCGAGCGAGCAGCCGAAGAAUGAUCCGUGAGCCGUCCAUGCUGGUUCGAGAAACCGCCGCCGAGCAGCUUGAGGAGCGCCAGAGCGAUUGGGCAUAUUCGAAGCCCGUGGUUAUUCUCGAUAUCGUCUGGAAUUUCGCGUUCGUGGCGGUGGCACUUGGGGUUUUGGUUUUGAGCAGGGACGAGAGGCCCAAUAUGUCGUUGAGGCUGUGGAUAACUGGGUACGCUUUCCAGUGUUUGCUACAUAUGGUUUGUGUUUGUGUGGAAUAUAGGCGACGGAGGAGGCGGCAGAGCGUGCAGUACAGACCAAUUAGUGCUGGGGAGGAAGGGGCUUUGAGCCCAGGAUCGAGGGUGGAUUCAGAGCAAUACGUGACAUUGGCUCAGUUGGAACAGGAUAGUGGAAGCAGUGUUUCAAAGCACCUGGAAUCUGCAAAUACAAUGUUUUCAUUCAUCUGGUGGAUCAUUGGAUUCUACUGGGUAUCUGUAGGUGGCCAAGCAUUGGCACGUUGCUCCCCUCAGCUUUAUUGGCUUUGUAUAAUUUUUCUUGGUUUUGAUGUCUUCUUUGUGGUUUUCUGCGUUGCACUGGCAUGCAUCAUUGGCAUUGCUGUUUGCUGCUGUCUUCCAUGUAUUAUUGCAAUCCUUUAUGCUGUGGCAGAUCAGCAGGAAGGAGCUUCCAAGGAAGACAUUGAUCAGUUGUCAAAAUACAAAUUUCGAAAAAUUGGCGAUGAUGAGAAAUCUGCUGGUGAUGUCCAAGGACCUGUUGGGGGAAUAAUGACUGAAUGCGGUACUGAUUCCCCCAUGGAGCAUGUGCUUUCCCAGGAUGAUGCAAUUCAUUCCAGUUUAGGGGAUUUGGAUUUUCUUACUUCUGAUCCAGAUUUGGCUGGAUCUCCUCCUUGGCGUGUGCCUCCUUCAACUAUUGCCAGCAGAACUAGUGAACAUGCUUCAUCUUCAUCUGGUAGGCUGGAUUCUUUCAAGGUUAAGAGUGUUGAAACGUGUGGGGAUGACUAUGGUUUGAAAUACAAAGCAGAAACAGCUGUAGCUAGGGCUUCUUGAGGAAAUUCUGGAAUUCCUUCUCUUGGGUUACGUACCUUCAAAACAGGUAUUGAUUAGAUAAACUAAUAUUCCUUUUUGCACUUAAAAUUUACUUAGAAGCUCCUAAAACACUUAUGAAAAGAUUGUCUUAUUUUUAUUUCCAUCACGUAUUUACAUAUACUCAGAAUGUCAUAAGGAUGCUAAUAUUUGUGUUUUGAGUCCUGGCAUUUCUUGUUUCAAUAAAGUCUGAUACAUAGCUUCAGGACAUUAUUUGAGUGGUCUCCUCAUAUUCUCUGGUAUGCGAGAACAAGAGGUACUGGCUAUGAUUUUACUUGCUUCACAAAUUGGAAUUAUUUUGGGCUGACAGUGUUGAGCAAUGGUGCUCUGUCUAGCUAUGUCAAUUAACAGGUUCCUGCAAAAAGAUUGAACUGAACCUUUUAUUAGAAGUUGGUGGCCAUGUGCUCUUUUUGAAGCCAAUGGUUAGAAAGACUCGCAUGACCAUCUGCAUAUGCUGUGUGAUGGUUACUACCAUCCAUAUUCAAUAACCAACACUUUGUACAAAGGAAUUUUUCAUUGCUGUUGCAGAAGGCCUUCCGGAGUCAUUAGUUGAGUAGCAAGCAAAAUUCGCUUAACACAUUCUUCACAUGUGUUCUCUUCAGGCCUGAACUGUUAUUCAAAUGUUGAUGAGCCCAAGUGCGCUCAUUUCAAUGGGAUUACAUUCAAACAAACAUGGCCGUACUUGGGAGAUGAUCACACUUUAAUAUGAGUAUUAUGCCACCAGAAAGAUACGGAAGCAUCAAAGUUGUUAAAAAGUGGAAUAUCAGCCACCCAUGUCUUCAGGGGAUUCAACCUUGAGAUCACCUCUUAUAUCAGAUGUUCUUAAGUGAAGCACCUCAAUUUGUUGAAACAAGAAAGGUCAAAUUAGUUUUAAAUCAAUGAAAAAGAAAUUCAAGAAGCAACAAAUGGAAUCAGAAAUGUGGCAAGGUAAUGUAGCUGCUAAAUCAUGUUGUAUAAAGUCUUUAUUAGUCGUCGUGGCAUUUUGUAGCGUUUCCUUGUGCUUGGUAAUGAGUUGGCCCACAAAAAUCCAAUUCUUUUGUUGUUCUAUACACGUAAAAAUGUUAAUAGUGGUAACACUGGGUAGGACCUGGGCACCAUGCUAACAACUUGCCCGUGAAUGAAAUGCUGUCAAUAGAAAUUCGAGUAAAUCUACCGGGACAAACUGACAAUACUAAGAGACAGGCGAGGCCCGCCCUUAU